AGCUCUGGUGGCUCAGUGGUUAGGGCGUCUGCCUCGGGUGCGGGAGGUCACUGGUUCGAACCCCAUCUUAGUCA